UACGUAGGGUGCAAGCGUUGUCCGGAAUUAUUGGGCGUAAAGAGCUCGUAGGCGGUCUGUCGCGUCGGAUGUGAAAAUCCAGGGCUCAACCCUGGACCUGCAUUCGAUACGGGCAGACUAGAGUUCGGUAGGGGAGACUGGAAUUCCUGGUGUAGCGGUGAAAUGCGCAGAUAUCAGGAGGAACACCGGUGGCGAAGGCGGGUCUCUGGGCCGAAACUGACGCUGAGGUGCGAAAGCGUGGGGAGCAAACAGG
rnacentral:rRNA from 1 species